rnacentral:antisense_RNA from 1 species
GGUGGAGUGAGGGCGGACUGGCCCUGGUGGGGGCCGCAGUCGAGGUCCGCAGUCUCCUCGGGGUUGAAAUCGGGCAUCAGCGCCGUUUAGAGAACACCGUCCUGCUGGGCAUGGCCGGGAUGCGAAGAUGGCCCUGAAGCGCACCUCCUAGAAUUUGGUUACCUAGAAAACCAUGUGGAAUAAAACGACGAGGCUUAUGAUAUUUAAAAGACUUCUGCAUCGAAUUGGUGUUAUCAUAAGGGUUAUUUUAAUAACUGGCAUUCUCUAAGUUUCUACACGUGUUGGGGGAUGCAGUGCCGUGCCACAUUUCCCGUCUCCAGCAAGCGCAGUCAGAUUGGCGACAUCGCAGGCAAGAGGCAGGGCUGGGACUCCCACCCGAGAAGUAAUUGUCUCCAAAGUUGGACUUUUGCCACUGGUUCUGCGACUUCAUGCAAUGCCAGGGAGAGCCCCUUGAUUUCCCCCAAAUCCUCAUCAGCCUCCUUCCACCCAAGCCCAGAUGAACAGUACUCAUCUACUCACCUGAGGAUUAUGAGGAUUAUGAGUUUUAUGGAGCAAAAUUUGCCUAGAACAGGUUGUCAGCUUCUGUGGACACAGUCUUCUACCCUCAGAAAUCCCAUUGGAAGAAAGAACAAAUGAAGCAUCCCAAGGACUGGAGGAUUCUCUUCCCCCAGGGUAUUCAAGGAAGACACUGGGGAACAAAUUGAACAAAGUUUAUUUCAUCAACAAUGAAAAAUGCCCAGAAGGAAAUGAAGCACAAGAUUCAGUUACACAAAGAUGAAAGCUAUUGACCACUUGGCCACUUCUCAUACUAAAAGAGAAGGAAAUAACACGAAGUACUGGAAGUGACAUUAUAUUGUCCUCAUGGUGACAACCAGGAUGGGCCUGACAUAAGCCAGUCCAGGCUGUAUGUGUGGCCCGAGUGCACACAUGCGGUUUCUCUGGCCACUGAAUCAGAACCAGCUGGGCCCCACAAGUCAGUCUCUGGGGGCUGUGAUUCUGCAUUGCAAACAAGUCCUUGGGUAGCUCUGAGGGUUCACCAAGGUUUGAGAACCACUAGUGUGGCUGACUCCAGUGAAACAGUCCCAACUUUUACUGCUUUCAACUGUCAUUUAUAUAGAUUCAGGCAAAGAAUGGUUUUUAGAAUGAUGCCCGAUGUAGCAAAUAAAAUGACCUCAACAUAUA